GUGGGGAAUUUUGGACAAUGGGCGAAAGCCUGAUCCAGCAAUGCCGCGUGCAGGAAGAAGGCCUUCGGGUUGUAAACUGCUUUUGUACGGAACGAAACGGUCCGGGUUAAUACCCUGGGCUAAUGACGGUACCGUAAGAAUAAGCACCGGCUAACUACGUGCCAGCAGCCGCGGUAAUACGUAGGGUGCAAGCGUUAAUCGGAAUUACUGGGCGUAAAGCGUGCGCAGGCGGUUUUGUAAGACAGGCGUGAAAUCCCCGGGCUCAACCUGGGAAUUGCGCUUGUGACUGCAAGGCUGGAGUGCGGCAGAGGGGGAUGGAAUUCCGCGUGUAGCAGUGAAAUGCGUAGAUAUGCGGAGGAACACCGAUGGCGAAGGCAAUCCCCUGGGCCUGCACUGACGCUCAUGCACGAAAGCGUGGGGAGCAAACAGGAUUAGAAACCCGGGUAGUCC
rnacentral:rRNA from 1 species